GUUAAACAUUAUUAAUCUUAUUUUCACUGUAGAUUUUAUCUACCGAUGACCACGUUAGCACGGGUGACGUUACAACAGUCCACAAUCGGUACGCAGACAGAGACCUGUCGGACCAUCUGAUCAGUUCUAGAUAACAACAAACUUCUAUCACGCUUACUCGUUUGAUCUACCGCUGCCCUCUGUUGAUCAACAACCACGAAACAAAACCGCAAGAUGAGGUCAUAUCGUUCGACGUUUGCUUGGCACCUACUUUGCAAGUGCCAAGUGUCAGUUUUCAAAGAUUUGGGAGUCCAGUUGCAAUCGCUCUGACUUUUGUGUAAAACAAUGAUGUAAAUAUGGUCGUAUGUUAAUAAUGAGAUCUAUGUUAUUCGAAAUUUUA